rnacentral:lncRNA from 1 species
CUCCGGUGGUUUCCUCUCCUCCACUUCCAUCACCACCACCACCACAAGUCCACUCUCCACCGCCACCUGUUCACUCUCCUCCACCGCCUGUCCACUCUCCUCCACCACCAGUCUAUUCCCCACCGCCACCGCCUGUCUUCUCUCCACCACCACCCGUAUAUUCCCCACCUCCGCCAGUCCAUUCGCCACCUCCACCACCUCCGGUUAACUCGCCGCCGCCACCUGUUCACUCACCGCCGCCGCCUGUUCAGUCGCCACCGCCACCGGUGUUUUCUCCUCCAGCUCAUCCGCCACAAACACCAGUCCAACCGUCACCAUCACCAGCGGUCAUUCUUCCACCUCCGUCUCAAUCUCCACCAGUAGUCUACUCUCCUCCGCCAACGAUCAGUUCCCCACC